rnacentral:rRNA from 1 species
CGCGUAGGUGGUAGUGCAAGUCUGGGGUGGAAUCUUAGGGCUUAACCCUAAAACUGCCUUGGAGACUGCAUUACUUGAGUCAGUGAGGGGAGGGUAGAAUUCCUGGUGUAGCGGUGAAAUGCGUAGAUAUCAGGAGGAAGGCCUGUGGCGAAGGCGGCCCUCUGGCGCUGAACUGACACUGAGGCGCGAAAGCGUGGGUAGCAAACAGGAUUAGAUACCCUGGUAGUCCACGCCCUAAACGGUGGGUACUAGGUGUAGGGCUCGUAAGGGUUCUGUGCCGAAGGGAAACCAUUAAGUACCCCGCCUGGGGAGUACGGCCGCAAGGUUGAA